rnacentral:misc_RNA from 1 species
CAUUAUCGUAUAACAGAGAUGCCCAGGGCUGUCGCUGACCUUCACAGGUCGUGCACGCCCAAAGGUGCUCUCUUAUGUCCAUCUCACCCCUUUGUGCAUCACCGCGUGUGCCCCCCUUAUUGGGCUUGUUCCAAAGGGGGGUUCGCGUUUUAACACAGACACCAAUUUUUAAGAGCAUGUGUAGAAUGUCUUACUUUUUGCGAUUAUGCGCAAUCAAUACAACUUUCAACAACGGAUCUCUUGGCUCUCGCAUCGAUGAAGAACGCAGCGAAAUGCGAUACGUAAUGUGAAUUGCAGAAUUCAGUGAAUCAUCGAAUCUUUGAACGCACCUUGCGCCCCUUGGUAUUCCGAGAGGCACACCCGUUUGAGUGUCGUGAACACCCUCAACCUUCUUGGUUUCUUGACCAGGAAGGCUUGGACUUUGGAGGUUUUCCUUGCUGGCCUUCCUUUGAAGCCAGCUCCUCCUAAAUGAAUUAGUGGGGCUCGCUUCGCCGAUCCUUGACGUGAUAAGUAUGCUUCUACGUCUUGGGUUUUGAACGAACCCGCUUCAAACGGUCUUUGAACAAAGACGAUGUUCGAGUUGCAUCCGCUGUGACUCGAACACAGCGACCUUGACCUCAAAUCGGGUGAGACUACCCGCUGAACUUAAGCAUAU